UUUGAACAUUCACCUGCUGCUUGUGUUUCACCUCAUUAUGACUGGUCUUGUGUGUUCCUGCCCACACUUUCUGGUCCAUGUUCUUCCCAUGGAUUAGCAGUUGUCUGCCAAUAGCAGGCUGGGGAGAGUCCUUCAAGUGGCUGUCUGACAAGGACAUGUAGCUAUGUCUGAAAAGAAGAAAAACUAAUAAUCUCUUUGUACUAACACUUUUGCUUGAUGUUUGUUUCUAGCAAGAGCACAGUCAGAGCUUUCCCAAGGACUCCUUUGGUGCUGUGUGAAAAGUCUUCCAGGUUGUUGGCAGAAGUACGUUUUUCUUCAUCAAAGAUAGAUAUAAAUAAGAAGUGCUGCUAUUGAUUGUCAUCCAAAACUCUUGAGAAAAAGGUCCUUUUGUCUGUUCAUCUUUCUGCACAAGGGAGUCGAUUUCUUAGAAAAUAGAUAGCUAUGCAGAAGGGCAAGGAAAAAUGGAGUACUUGAACCUGCUGAUGGCCUAUGUGAGAAACACAUCAAAAACUACCACUGUGAUCCCUAUAAGUAAUAAAUAAAAGGUUGAA